ACACGUAGGGGCCUGACGUUGUUCGGAAUCAUUGGGCGUAAAGGGCGCGCAGGCGGCCGUCCAAGUCCGGUGUUAAAUGGUCGGGCUCAACCCGAUCAUGCGCUGGAAACUGGGCGGCUUGAGUCCCGUAGGGGAUGCCGGAAUUCCAGGUGUAGGGGUGAAAUCUGUAGAUAUCUGGAAGAACACCGAUGGCGAAGGCAGGCAUCUGGCCGGAGACUGACGCUGAGGCGCGAAGGCGCGGGGAGCGAACAGGUUUAGAUACCCUGGUAGUCCGCGCAGUAAACGAUGCGCACCAGGUGUCGGGCGGCAGCGCCCGGUACCGGAGCUAACGCGAUGAGUGCGCCGCCUGGGGAGUACGAUCGCAAGAUUGAAACUCAAAGGAAUUGACGGGG
rnacentral:rRNA from 1 species